AUUGAACGCUGGCGGCACGCUUAACACAUGCAAGUCGAACGGCAGCGGGGGGAGCUUGCUCCCUGCCGGCGAGUGGCGAACGGGUGAGUAACGCGUAGGGAUCUGCCUGUUAGAGGGGGAUAAGCCGUGGAAACGCGGUCUAAUACCGCAUACGCCCUAAGGAGGAAAGUAUGGGACCGAAAGGCCAUACGCUAACAGAUGAAACUGAGUUAGAUUAGCUAGUUGGUAGGGGAAAGGCCUACCAAGGCGACGGUCUAUAGCUGGUCUGAGAGGAUGACCAGCCACACUGGAACUGAGAUACGGACCAGACUCCUACGGGAGGCAGCAGUGGGGAAUAUUGGACAAUGGGGGCAACCCUGAUCCAGCGAUGCCGCGUGUGUGAAGAAGGCCUGAGGGUUGUAAAGCACUUUAGUUGGGGAGGAAAGCCUGAGGAUGAAUAAGCCUUAGGGGAGACGUUACCCAAAGAAUAAGCACCGGCUAACUCUGUGCCAGCCGCCGCAGUAA
rnacentral:rRNA from 1 species